UAUCGCAAAUAAGUGAGUGAUCCUUUCAGUGAUAUAUAAGAUAAGUGAAACUAACACUAAGGUGCACAUAUGUGCUGAAAACAUUUUUCCAUCAUUAAAGAAUACAGAGUUUAUCUUUACGGAUGAAAAUGAUGCUAAACUUCAACCAGACAUUUUAUCAGAAUUUGUUAGAAUAAAUCCACGAGGCGUUAUUAUAAAAAUUAAAACAACGACAAAUAUUGAUAUUUCAUUGUCGCAUAUCCCUAAAGAAGUAAAUCAACCAUCUACAAGUUCAGAUGUAGAUACAUGUUCUAUUAGAAGUUCCGUUCUAUUAGAGUUCUCAAAUAGUGAGUAUGAAGAAAAUGCAUCGUCUUCCAAAAAAUAUAAAUUAGAUGCUACCGUUUCUGAAAGUAAUGAAGUUAUAUCAAAAGAGAAGUUGCAUGAAAUAAUAA